ACAAAGUUCUUUUCCGGUGUUCUGACUUCAAUUAGGCUUCUCCCUUUAUGCAAAGAAUUAAAGAUGAAAGUCACAAAAUUUCACUUUCAUGUACUUCAUCAAUGACACUCACAAUCCUUUGCAAAGUGCUUGCUUCAGUUUCCCAUGCAUCCAUUGGUUAACCAAACCCCAAGCUAGCUCAUGUAAACUAGAGUUGUACCAGGGCUCAAUAAAAAGCACCGCAAUAUGGGCUACAACAACUAAGCUCCUAUAAACUGAUGGGCCAUUCAGUCUUGCAGUCAUUUCAAGUUUCUGUCCAUAUGGUUGAAAAACAUCAAGGUG
rnacentral:lncRNA from 1 species